AUCUAUGGCCACACCAUUCUGAACAUGCCCAAUCUCAUCUAAUCUUGGAGUUAAGCAGGGUUGGGCUUGGUGAGUACUUGGAAGGAAGAAAUGAUUGCAUGGUAGUGUCACGUGGUUCUCAAAC
ensembl:rRNA 5S_rRNA 5S ribosomal RNA